UGCCUUUAAGUGUUGCCUGUUCAUUCCACCUGUAAUGAAUUGUGGUGUCAGCAAAGGCAUACAGUAUCUCUUGCGGUGGCCUUACGGAGGCAGUGACGGUGGCCUUUAUUUCGGGACACGACAAGCACAUUA